GACGAACGCUGGCGGCGUGCUUAACACAUGCAAGUCGAACGAUGAACUUGGAGCUUGCUCUGGGGGAUUAGUGGCGAACGGGUGAGUAACACGUGAGUAACCUGCCCUGGACUCUGGGAUAACUUCGAGAAAUCGGAGCUAAUACCGGAUAGGACCUUGCACCGCAUGGUGUGGGGUGGAAAGUUUUUCGGUUUGGGAUGGACUCGCGGCCUAUCAGCUUGUUGGUGAGGUAAUGGCUCACCAAGGCGUCGACGGGUAGCCGGCCUGAGAGGGUGACCGGCCACACUGGGACUGAGACGCGGCCCAGACUCCUACGGGAGGGAGCAGUGGGGAAUAUUGCACAAUGGGCGCAAGCCUGAUGCUGCAACGCCGCGUGCGGGAUGACGGCCUUCGGGUUGUAAACCGCUUUUAGUAGGGAAGAAGCCUUCGGGUGACGGUACCUGCAGAAAAAGGACCGGCUAACUACGUGCCAGCCGCCGCCGUAACAC
rnacentral:rRNA from 1 species